rnacentral:lncRNA from 1 species
GGAGCCCUGGCUGGCUGACCCCCACCCCUGAAUUCAUCCCCACCAGCCACCAAUGAGGACGAAAGCAUCACUUGGCCGUAUGGCCACCAUGGACCGUCCCUUUCAGGUUGUUGUGGGUCGUCAUGGAAACAAAGAUGUCUUAAUGUUAAGAAUAAUUUGCUCCUUAAUGGAAACAGUCUCUCUCUAAAGGAAGGUUAACUUGGGAGCCAUCAGAGCCAUCCCCGGCCGCUGGCCCCGCCACGCCCCUGUCCUACUUUGGUCUGCUUGCCUGGAGAUCUUAAUUUUGAUGAUGUAUGAGGUGUCAGCCAGAAGGUCUUGUGCUCCACUGCGAAGCACUAUAAAAAGGCAGAUGUAUGACUGUGUCAUCCACAAAUACCCUAGAAAGUUAAGUGUUAAAUCAAUGUUAAUAAUAAAUGUUUCCCUCUGAAGUAGGUUACGGCAGCAUCGCCAGAGCUGUUUAAAAUGUAACAAACCAACAAACUCUCAGGGAGCUGAAGGAUGCCUACCCCUGCCAUGGUCCCUGCCAUGCAGCCAGGAAAGUUGUUAAAUGCCAGCCCAUCUGGUCUGCUUGGAACCCUUGGAUGGAAAGAGGACUCACCCCUCCAAACAUCUGAACUUGAUCUCUACAAACGAGAAGUCUUGGGACCAGAAAGCCCCCAGGGGUGAAAGAGGAAAAGUGAGAGCCAUCGCGUCCCUCCAUUCCUAGGACCUAAGACUCAGCGAUCAAAACAGACCCUGCCAGCACUCCAGCUUCCCAAGAAACACUGGAGAUGAAUAAAUGAUUCACCACGUGGCCAGGACUGCAGCCCUUUCUCUGGAAGAGAAUUCAAGCCCACUUUAUUUAAACCAAGGGGCUACAGACCUGGUGGUGGAGGUCUUCAACCACUGGAAUUCCCUUGGGAGACCAUUAGAAUGGUAUUUUUUUACCCUUUACUUGGCUAUGGGGUUCCCUGAAUAGUGAUACCUCCCUAAGGAGAAAAGUGCAAGGCCUCGCCACUGCUUUCCAGCAACAAAGGAAUGAAUUCCAUAAGCUCCUGCUGAACAUACUG